AUUGAACGCUGGCGGCAGGCUUAACACAUGCAAGUCGAGCGGAGAUGAGGUGCUCGCACCUUAUCUUAGCGGCGGACGGGUGAGUAAUGCUUAGGAAUCUGCCUAUUAGUGGGGGACAACAUUCCGAAAGGAAUGCUAAUACCGCAUACGUCCUACGGGAGAAAGCAGGGGAUCUUCGGACCUUGCGCUAAUAGAUGAGCCUAAGUCGGAUUAGCUAGUUGGUGGGGUAAAGGCCUACCAAGGCGACGAUCUGUAGCGGGUCUGAGAGGAUGAUCCGCCACACUGGGACUGAGACACGGCCCAGACGCCUACGGGAGGCAGCAGUGGGGAAUAUUGGACAAUGGGGGGAACCCUGAUCCAGCCAUGCCGCGUGUGUGAAGAAGGCCUUAUGGUUGUAAAGCACUUUAAGCGAGGAGGAGGCUACUGAGACUAAUACUCUUGGAUAGUGGACGUUACUCGCAGAAUAAGCACCGGCUAACUCUGUGCCAGCCGCCGCGGUAACAC
rnacentral:rRNA from 1 species